rnacentral:rRNA from 1 species
GAUGUCGACUGGAGGUUGUGCCCUUGAGGCGUGGCUUACCGGAGCUAACGCGUUAAGUCGACCGCCUGGGGAGUACGGCCGCAAGGUUAAAACUCAAAUGAAUUGACGGGGGCCCGCACAAGCGGUGGAGCAUGUGGUUUAAUUCGAUGCAACGCGAAGAACCUUACCUGGUCUUGACAUCCACAGAACUUUCCAGAGAUGGAUUGGUGCCUUCGGGAACUGUGAGACAGGUGCUGCAUGGCUGUCGUCAGCUCGUGUUGUGAAAUGUUGGGUUAAGUCCCGCAACGAGCGCAACCCUUAUCCUUUGUUGCCAGCGGUCCGGCCGGGAACUCAAAGGAGACUGCCAGUGAUAAACUGGAGGAAGGUGGGGAUGACGUCAAGUCAUCAUGGCCCUUACGACCAGGGCUACACACGUGCUACAAUGGCGCAUACAAAGAGAAGCGACCUCGCGAGAGCAAGCGGACCUCAUAAAGUGCGUCGUAGUCCGGAUUGGAGUCUGCAACUCGACUCCAUGAAGUCGGAAUCGCUAGUAAUCGUGGAUCAGAAUGCCACGGUGAAUACGUUCCCGGGCCUUGUACACACCGCCCGUCACACCAUGGGAGUGGGUUGCAAAAGAAGUAGGUAGCUUAACCUUCGGGAGGGCGCUUACCACUUUGUGAUUCAUGACUGGGGUGAAGUCUCAAAAGGGGGAA